GAACACGUGAGAAACCUGCCUCGGAUUUUGGGAUAACAAAUGGAAACGUUUGCUAAUACCAAAUAACGUCGGAAGUCCGCAUGGACAUCUGACGAAAGGGAUUCCGGUUUGGGAGCGUCUCGCGGACCUAUCAGCUUGUUGGUGGGGUAAUGGCCUACCAAGGCAACGACGGGUAGCUGGUCUGAGAGGAUGAUCAGCCACACUGGGACUGAGACACGGCCCAGACUCC
rnacentral:rRNA from 1 species